GAGGAGAUCUGUCGUCUCCUUCGGUCAGUGAUGCUGAGCUGUCAGUCUGGCUCACGGUUCGACUCAGGCCACUGCUGUCCACUUUGAGCUCAGCAGAUGCUUCGGUGUAUUUUGACAUCAUAAGGGCUCGUGGCUGCAGCGUCCAACAGGAGGCCGUCAAUGUGCUGGACUCUCAAAGGACGCCUCUGGAUGGAAACACACAACGUCAGAUCUAUAACAACAUCCAACAGCUACUCACAGACGCUCCUCUUCGCUGUUAUGUCCGGGGCAGUUUCUACCUCUUCCUCAAGUCUUUCUUCCUCCAGUUUGGAUUUCCAGACCUCAACACCUUCCAGUCUCUGAUCCCUGCGGACAGGAGGCCUGAGCUGCUGAGCUCCAUCUCUACAGCCGAGCUGAGCCAGUUCCUGAACGACC